rnacentral:rRNA from 1 species
UAGGGAAUUUUCGGCAAUGGACGAAAGUCUGACCGAGCAACGCCGCGUGAGUGAAGAAGGCUUUCGGAUCGUAAAACUCUGUUGUUAGAGAAGAACAAGGACGGUAGUAACUGAACGUCCGCUGACGGUAUCUAACCAGAAAGCCACGGCUAACUACGUGCCAGCAGCCGCGGUAAUACGUAGGUGGCAAGCGUUGUCCGGAAUUAUUGGGCGUAAAGCGAGCGCAGGCGGUUUCUUAAGUCUGAUGUGAAAGCCCCCGGCUCAACCGGGGAAGGUCAUUGGAAACUGGGAAACUUGAGUGCAGAAGAGGAGAGUGGAAUUCCAUGUGUAGCGGUGAAAUGCGUAGAUAUAUGGAGGAACACCAGUGGCGAAGGCGGCUCUCUGGUCUGUAACUGACGCUGAGGCUCGAAAGCGUGGGGAGCAAACAGG